rnacentral:rRNA from 1 species
UUCUCGGGCUGAGCGACCGGUCCGCCGCUAUGCGGUGUGUACUCGGGUGCGUCUCGGCUCAUCCUUGCAGGGAACGGCAUUCGGCCUUAAUUGGUCGAGGUCGGGAAUUGCAUCGUUUACUGUGAAAAAAUUAGAGUGUUUAAAGCAGGCUUAUGCUGUGAAUACAUUAGCAUGGAAUAAUAAGAUAGGACUUUGGUUCUAUUUUGUUGGUUGGAGGCCAAGGUAAUGAUUAAUAGGGAUAGUUGGGGGUAUUCAUAUUUAAUUGUCAGAGUUGAAAUUCUUGGAUUUAUGAAAGAUGAACUUAUGCGAAAGCAUUUACCAAGGAUGUUUUCAUUAAUCAAGAACGAAAGUUAGGGGAUCGAAGAGGAUUAGAUACCCUCGUAGUCUUAACCAUAAACUAUGCCGACUAGG